UAUAGAGUCAAGCGAAUAAGUGCACAUGGUGGAUGCCUUGGCAGUCAUAGGCGAUGAAGGACGUGGUAGCCUGCGAAAAGCUACGGGGAGCUGGCAAACAAGCUUUGAUCCGUAGAUGUCCGAAUGGGGAAACCCACCCUUUUAGGGGUAUCGCACAGUGAAUACAUAGCUGUGCGAGGCGAACCUGGAGAACUGAAACAUCUAAGUACCCAGAGGAAAAGAAAUCAACCGAGAUUCCGAGAGUAGUGGCGAGCGAAAUUGGAACAGCCUGUACGAUUUAGCAUUUGAGUUAACAAAACGGUCUUGAAAGUCCGGCCAUAGAAGGUGAUAGCCCUGUAUGUGAAAACUCGAUUGUGGAACUAGGCGUACGACAAGUAGGGCGGGGCACGAGAAACCCUGUCUGAACAUGGGGGGACCAUCCUCCAAGGCUAAAUACUCAUGACUGACCGAUAGUGAACUAGUACCGUGAGGGAAAGGCGAAAAGAACCCCGGGAGGGGAGUGAAAUAGAUCCUGAAACCGUGUGCAUACAAACAGUCGGAGCGGACUUGUUCCGUGACGGCGUACCUUUUGUAUAAUGGGUCAGCGACUUACAUUCAGUGGCAAGCUUAACCGAGUAGGGAAGGCGUAGCGAAAGCGAGUCCGAAUAGGGCGUUUAGUCGCUGGGUGUAGACCCGAAACCAGAUGAUCUAUCCAUGGCCAGGUUGAAGGUUGGGUAACACCAACUGGAGGACCGAACCCACUAACGUUGAAAAGUUAGGGGAUGAGCUGUGGAUAGGGGUGAAAGGCUAAACAAAUCUGGAAAUAGCUGGUUCUCCCCGAAAACUAUUUAGGUAGUGCCUCGAGUCUCACUACAGGGGGUAGAGCACUGUUAUGGCUAGGGGGUCAUCGCGACUUACCAAACCAUGGCAAACUCCGAAUACCUGUAAGUGCAAUCUCGGGAGACAGACAUCGGGUGCUAACGUCCGGUGUCAAGAGGGAAACAACCCAGACCGCCAGCUAAGGUCCCUAAUAUCUGCUAAGUGGAAAACGAAGUGGGAAGGCUAAAACAGUCAGGAGGUUGGCUUAGAAGCAGCCACCCUUUAAAGAAAGCGUAAUAGCUCACUGAUCGAGUCGUCCUGCGCGGAAGAUGUAACGGGGCUAAGCAGAUAACCGAAGCUGCGGAUGUACACGUAAGUGUAUGUGGUAGGGGAGCGUUCUGUAAGCCUGCGAAGGUGUGUUGUAAAGCAUGCUGGAGGUAUCAGAAGUGCGAAUGCUGACAUGAGUAGCGAUAAACAGAGUGAAAGGCUCUGUCGCCGUAAGCCCAAGGUUUCCUACGCAACGUUCAUCGGCGUAGGGUUAGUCGGCCCCUAAGGCGAGGCAGAAAUGCGUAGUCGAUGGGAAGCAGGUUAAUAUUCCUGCACCGACGUGUAAUGCGAUGGGGGGACGGAUCGUGGAAAGUGGUCCAGGUGUUGGAUAUCCUGGUCCCUGCAUCAUAGAGGACAGUUAGGCAAAUCCGGCUGUCAUAUACUCAAGGGUGUGGGGGGAAGUAGCUACGGCUACGAACCCAUUGGAAGUGGUCCCAAGAAAAGCCUCUAAGCUUCAGUUACACGUUGACCGUACCGCAAACCGACACAGGUGGGCGGGAUGAGUAUUCUAAGGCGCUUGAGAGAACUCAGGAGAAGGAACUCGGCAAAUUGGUACCGUAACUUCGGGAGAAGGUACGCCCUUGUAGCUUGACCAUGAACAAUGGAAGGGUGAAGGGGUUGCAAUAAAAUGGUGGCUGCGACUGUUUAAUAAAAACACAGCUCUCUGCAAACACGAAAGUGGACGUAUAGGGAGUGACGCCUGCCCGGUGCUGGAAGAUUAAAUGAUGGGGUGCAAGCUCUUGACUGAAGUCCCAGUAAACGGCGGCCGUAACUAUAACGGUCCUAAGGUAGCGAAAUUCCUUGUCGGGUAAGUUCCGACCUGCACGAAUGGCGUAACGAUGGCCACACUGUCU
rnacentral:rRNA from 1 species